rnacentral:tRNA from 1 species
GCCCCUGUGGUAUAGCUCGGCUAGUAUUCAAGACUGUCACUCUUGAGACCCGGGUUCAAAGCGAAGCGCGAUUGUUCGAGCCUCCUGAAACUCCCGGCGGGGGCGCCA